rnacentral:rRNA from 1 species
AUGGAUUAAGAGCUUGCUCUUAUGAAGUUAGCGGCGGACGGGUGAGUAACACGUGGGUAACCUGCCCAUAAGACUGGGAUAACUCCGGGAAACCGGGGCUAAUACCGGAUAACAUUUUGAACCGCAUGGUUCGAAAUUGAAAGGCGGCUUCGGCUGUCACUUAUGGAUGGACCCGCGUCGCAUUAGCUAGUUGGUGAGGUAACGGCUCACCAAGGCAACGAUGCGUAGCCGACCUGAGAGGGUGAUCGGCCACACUGGGACUGAGACACGGCCCAGACUCCUACGGGAGGCAGCAGUAGGGAAUCUUCCGCAAUGGACGAAAGUCUGACGGAGCAACGCCGCGUGAGUGAUGAAGGCUUUCGGGUCGUAAAACUCUGUUGUUAGGGAAGAACAAGUGCUAGUUGAAUAAGCUGGCACCUUGACGGUACCUAACCAGAAAGCCACGGCUAACUACGUGCCAGCAGCCGCGGUAAUACGUAGGUGGCAAGCGUUAUCCGGAAUUAUUGGGCGUAAAGCGCGCGCAGGUGGUUUCUUAAGUCUGAUGUGAAAGCCCACGGCUCAA